rnacentral:lncRNA from 1 species
CGCCCCUGAGCAAUCCCCAAUUUUAUUAUUACAUCCUUUGCAUGUAUACAAUCAAUAAUUACAACCCAAAUGAAAGCAAGAAAGGAAUAGAAAUCAUGAAGAAUUUAAAUAAUCCUUUCUAAUUCCCUUGCUACUCUCCAUCCGUCUAGAAUGUUCAAUAAUAUCUGUCAAGCAAAACAAACAUAUCCCAAAACACACCACAAAAACUAAUAUCCAAUAAUUACUACACUUAACAAGCUUGCGAAGACACCACAACAUUCACCAAUAACACUUAAGGGAAUUAAAAAAAACAUUUAUAACUAACAAAUUAUAAUAAAAUGCGUCGUCUCAAAAACUAACCAGUUUUUGUAGCAACUAAAUAAUUAAAGAAAG